GUCACCUCCCGCCAGGCCCCGCCCCCAACCGUGGGAAUGACAGUUCAACAGGAGAUGGGCGACCCAGACCCGGACCACAUCAGUGGCUUUCAGGAGACGUGAGGAGCGAUGCAGGCACGGCCCCCUUGGGAGAAAGUGUCUGCGGGAAGCGCUCUGUGAACUCUGCGACCUCACUGAAGAUCCCCUGCCCCAGGCUCAAGUUAGAGAGAGAGGAGGUCACAGUGCUGGAAUUCCAGCUGGGCAUCCGUCCCAGCUCUGCGCUGAGUGCGUUCAGCCCCGGCUGGAGCUUGUAGACGGCAGCCCUGCAGGAACCCACCAGGGCUGACUCCUUCCUCCCCAGAUCCCACAGAACAACAGUGGAUCUCCACUCGGCACGUGUCCCCUCCACGUUCACAUGAAGUGUCUUUUAGCGGAAAGUGUAUAAACGUGUUAAUUUUGGUUACUGCACUGAAGUGAGGCAAGUUCCUGCAGCUUUAUUAAAUGACCAGUGCUGUCA